GGGGAUGUUCUGGUUUUGACAGCACUGAUUUCGGAUGGUAAGCACGUCGGGCGUAGGAGGCUGGCCCGUUAAUCCCAGUCUUCAAGCCAUAACUCUAAUCUCUCAGAGAUUGAGCAUUAAUCGAUGCCGCCAAGGCUGCGGCACGACGUAUAUCCCUCCAGCUUUAGGCCGGUUCAGUCUGGAUCCAGGGGUAUCAUCAAAACCGGAUGCUCGGGGAAGACGCCUCUAGGCCCCGCUAAGAUUUCAGAGGAUAAGCCCCCGGUGGCCUGCCUUCCGGCAGCCGCGGGCCGACAAUCAAAGAAAGGAUAAGCGUGUAGAAAGCUACCUGGGACUUUGUUUGGACGGCGGUUCGACUCCGCCCAUCUCCACA
rnacentral:tmRNA from 1 species